UGGGGUCUAUUAAGAUUGUAUAGAGUACCACGGGGCUGUUAACUGCUAUCAGGAGAGCAUCACACAGGACAUUCUGUUCUUUCCUGAAGCCAACAUCACCAGCCCAGCUUCUAGAAAAUAUCACAAUCCCCUGAGAACAAGGAUGUAUCAGGGUCUUCAUUAAACCCUCCAGUUCUUUAUGAUCUGAGAACAGCUUCUUACAGAGGGAUUCUGGUUUAAAUUGUACCUCUUCCUGUGUCACUGAAAAUUCAAGGAAUAGAUGUUACCAAAACUUACAAAAGCAUGUGGAUCAUUAUGUCGCUAAGUCCUUCAUUUGACCUUCCCUAAGGAGAAACACCUGAACUCAUUACUACUAACACCUCCCAACUCAAUUUUAGAAAACAAAUAGUCCCCUAAGUUGAAAUCAAGAGGGAAUACCUGGAAACAAAUGUCGUUGCAGAGCCUCCUUAAAUUUGUGGACUUUUAUGGGAUAUCCGGGACUUUUUCGUGCAGAUGAAGCUGAUGAAAUCAGGCAAGAGUUGUAGUCUGUGACCAAACUGGGAGGAGCUAGACAAUUACAUGGAAAGUUGUUUCAGACAAAAAAUAAAAAGUUAAAAAAAAAAAAAAAAAAGCCUCUUUUUUUGGCUCUUCUUACUGGAGACCUGUGAUGUGCAUGGGUGCCUGAGCAGUCGUACUUACUAUGCGUCAGACAGCUCACGUAUGUCAGGAAAGGAAGUCUGGGGAUUCCUACAGGGGACAUAUCACACAUAUUCUAAGUCACUGUGUGACUCGGCUUGAGCAAGUCAUUUCACCUCUCUCUCACGCUGGAGUGAAGUAAUAAUCCCUAAGCUUCCUUUCAAUUAUAAUAUUCUGACUCCAGGUUAUCUCUAAGAAGAAAAGGCAUCUAGUGGGGAUCAGCAAGGAUUAAAGCACAGUAUUUUAAAAAUGGUGUUGGCCAGAUGUGAUGGCUCACACCUGUAAUCCCAGCACUUUGGGAGGCCGAGGCAGGCGGAUCACGAGGUCAGGAGAUCAAGACCAUCCUGGCUAACACGGUGAAACCCCGUCUCUACUAAAAACAAAAAAAAUUAGCCAGGCAUGGUGGCCGGCGCCUGUAGUCCCACCUAUUCGGGAGGCUGAGGCAGGAGAAUGGGGUGAACCCAGGAGACGGAGCUUGCAGUGAGCCGAGAUAGCGCCACUGCACUCCAGCCUGGGUGACAGAGCGAGACUCCGUCUCAAAAAAAAAAAAAAAUACAAAAAAAUACAAAAAUUAGCUGGGCGUGGUGGUGUGCCUGUAAUCCCAGCUGCUCGGGAGGCUGAGGUGGGAGAAUUGCUUGAACCUGGGAGGCGGAGGCUGCAGUGAGCUGAGAUCGUGCCGCUGCACUCCAGCCUAGGCGACAAAGCAAGACCCUGUC